GAGAUUGUAGCAGAAGGUACAAUGGAAUGGGGUUAUGUGUGUUUACUUCCUGUGUUUGGAUUCAUGUUUACUUUUUCUGGAACAGUGAAAGCGACCUGUCCACCUGGAGCCAGACUCUAUGACUGUUCCGGCUGUUGGUCACAUUGUCCUACAGAGCAAGUGUGUUCUGCUGGUUGUAUUAGUGGCUGUGUAUGUGAUACGAACGGUUAUGUUUUAC